rnacentral:misc_RNA from 1 species
UCUCUCUCUCUCUCUCUCUGUGUGCGCGCUCGCGCGCGCUUGUGUCUCUCUCUUCCAUUGAUUUAUACUAUGUUCGAUGGUCCUGCAAAGAAAGAAUAACAGGCAUUAGAAUGGAAAAUGAUCACAGUUUCCACCCUAUAUUUCCCCCUUCUAAAUCUGAACCAUGGUCAUUUUGACAAUUCUAGCAUUUGUGGUUGGGAUAAGCAUAGGUAAGAAAAUGCAGUGUCUUCAUUUGGUAUCACAGCCAUCUCAAGCGCCACAUGAAAAAUAAUUAUCCAAAGAGGGGAAAUAUAAUGUCUUAUAUUCUCCAUCCUUUUUUAAGAUUGAGGUUAUAUAUUUUGGUUAUAUCUCCAUAAUCUCUGUAUAAUAGUGGACACAUGAAGGCCGUUAGAUGUUAGUAUCAGACAUCAAAUUUGAUUGUCUAGUGCAUUAGAUCUUGAUGAAACUACCGCAGAAACAGAAAUCCCAUUCAUUCCCAUUAAUAAAUAUGUACAAUGAUUAUAGUUACAUAUUCCUUUUCUUUAAAAAUUUCUGAUGGAAAAAUCAUGCAUAUGACAGCAAUAGGUUCAUCACUUAAUUACCAAGUGGGGCAAUAAAUUAUCAUGAGAAUCUGCAACUAUCACAAUGCAUGAAAAGAGUAAUGUCUCUGGUAGAAAUGCUGAAAGAUGAAAUUGAAGCCAGAUCAUGUAUUCACUAUGCUUUGCCUGCAUCAAGUUGCUUCGUGCAAAUAUUUCCUAUUCAACAAAGAGGUUUUCUUUGCACAAUCGUAGGUGAUGGCAAUAGCGGAGUGACAAGGGAUUAAAAGAAGGGCAGGAAUCACUGAAAUAGCACAAAACGCAAAACCUCAAAAAUUAUCCCUAAAUCUGAUAGGUUUAACUUGUCAACUAGUCUUGAAGUAUCUAAUCUUGUGCUAAUGAAUCAGCGAAGCCUCAUCAAAUACAAUACUAAUUCCAUUAGCUAGUAAUGCGUACAUAAAUGUGAUGAAAAUGCAAAACUGACAACUGUAAUAUAGGCAUCUACAAAUCAAUCUUCACAACUGAAGAAGUUUUCUGUACUGAUCAUUACGACAACAGCACACAUACAUACAAGUGAAAAGAAUAGGAAAGAAAAAUGGUUUACAUAGAACUAAAAAUCUAUAUAUAACAAUGCAAAUUCCACAACCAUAUAUCUUCAUGCAAGCUAUUUCAUUUCUUUUCAAUUAUUUGACUUUAAUAUCACCCUUGGUGUCAGAGGAGAGGGUUUUGAGCUUGGAGAUUUACCAAUGAUGGCUUUCUUCGCCUUCACAAGUGACUGUUUCACCUUUGUUAAAAUAUUGUUUGAUUGUUUUUUAGUAGUCUUGGCUGGAACUUCUCUUAGCAAGUCUUGGGAUGCUUUUGCAACAUCACCAUUCUUGGUAGAAGGCUCUAAAUUCCGGGCGUUCGACUUUGCUAUCUCCUCAGCAUUUUCUUUCCCUACCUUGUCUUCACUGAUUUUUGCAUUUUCCUUAUCUUUUACAGCUAACCCAGAAUAUUGGGAUUCUUUAACUGGUACGAUAACAGUUGUAGUGGCUUCAUCCAGCUUUCCCUGUAUGGAACCAUCUUUGCUGGUUUCGACUAGAGCUGGUGUCUCCUCUUUUAUGUCUUCUUCUUUCUUGUUUUCUACCACUGGUUCAAUCACCUUACCAGUUUUCUCUACCUCGAAUGAUCUUUCAGCAACUUCAGCAUUUGAAACAGCCUCCUUGACAUCGUCCACUUUGAUCGGCUGAACUAGUUCUUCAUUUACCCCUACUCUCUCAACAUUCUCAUCCCCUGUUAUAAUAGUCUUUUCCUCUCUCUCUUCUCCACCAUUUUCCAUUUCCACCGCUGCCUCUUUAGAUGGUGCUUCAACUACUUCAGUCCCAUUAGUUUCCUCCUUUAUGUUCUCCACAUCAGUUAUCCCUGCACCAUAAGGAAGAGAAGAUUCUCCUUUGUCUUCUUUAACGUCAGCUUGAGCUUCCUGCUUAGCUGAAACCACUUGUUCGGAAGCUGCACCGUGUUCCUCUUCUGUACUGGUUUUCUCUUCCUUUAAGGACGUGGUAUCCUCAACUCUAUCAGCCAAUGAUCCCUCAUCUAUUGCAGUUUCACCCUUAACUUUUUCUGGGACCUCAUAUUCUACCUUUGCUUUCAAAUCAGCUUCAGCUUCUAAACUUUCUGGUUUCUUAACUUCUUCAAUUACAGAUUGUUCCUUUGGUUUCACCUCAACUUCAGGAACCACUGAUUCUGGUUUAUCUACGCCUUCAGACACAGCUGAAUCUUCAAUAUCUUUUACCAAAACUGCUUCUGAUUCUUUCACAGGAAGAGCUUCUGAUGACUCCUGUUGUUUCUCAAUUGCUUCAAUUGAUGCUACUUUUUCAUCUUGUUUGACAACUUCAGAUUGUUCCUUUGGUGUUACUUCAGGAACUGGUUCAUUAAUUUCUUUGGAUGAUGCUGUUGAAGCUUCAAUAUCCUUCACAACUGCUUCUGAUUCAUUGAUAGCUGGAACUUCUGGGAUCUCCUGUUGUUUCCCAAUUUCUUCAACUGAUUGUGGUUUUCCACCUUGUUCAGUGAUGUCAGAUUGUUCCUCCAGUUCCACAUCAACUUCUGGAACAAGUGAUUCUUGUUUAUCGACUUCUUUGGGCAUUACUUUUGAAUCUUCAGGAACUUCUACAACUUCUUCGGAUUCUUUAGUAGGAAGAAUUGCCAACAGCUCCUUUGCUUUCUCAACAGCUUCAAUCGAUAAUUCCGGAACAUCAACUAUCUUAGGUUGCUCCUUUUGCAUUUUCUCCACAGAUUCUGUUGCUUGUUGCUCUUCUUGUACUUCUGCAACACACUCAAUAGCAGGUUCUACAACUGGUCGACUAUUAACAGCAUCACUUGCCGGCUCUAGAUAGCUGUGUGCAUGUGAACGAGGGAUGUCUUGCUCCAUCUCAAUUUUGUCUUCCACCAGCACAUCCACAGCAGAAGAAUCACCAAUCUUAACCUCGACUGCCAGAGGCUGUGUCUGUUUAUUUUCCACCCCUCCAUCCGAUUUAGGUAACGGCUUUGUCUCACUUGGCAGCUCCUCAAUUUUGGGGUUCUCUACUUUACCUUCCUCAGGUAGAGAAACAGUUCCUCGAUCUAUAGGCUUUACUUCUUCAUUCACCAUGGUCUCAACUGGCUCGUCAGGACUAGUAGUAGUGGUGGGAGUGUGAAGUGAUGUAGUUGCAGAUUCAGUAGCCAUAAGGAUUGAAAUAGGCAGAGAGAGAAGAGGGAGAGAAAGUGAUAAAUUGAUAGGAGAUUCUUUCUGGGUGAUAAUAAUAACAAUAAUAAUAAAUAUUAAAAAUAAGAUAAAAAGGGAAAGAAAAAGGAUAAUAUGGUAGGCAACUGCAGAAAAGAAAGUAAGAAAGAAAAAAAGAACAGAAAAGAAAGUAAAGGAACAAUAACAGCAAAAAAAGCAAAGCAGUGAUGAGUGACAGACUGUAUCACAUGGUCAAUCAAAUGUGAAUGAUUAGGAUUCCCAUUAAAAAUCUUUUCUUUUCAAGAAUUACUUUUAAUAAUCUCAAUAUCAAAACAUGUAGACGAUAAAGAAUGGGGUUUGAUUUGGUUGGAUGAUUAGAAAGUGAGAAAGCAAUUUCCGAAUGGCUACCGGACAAAGGCUUUCCAACGAGGGGGACCAGGAUUUUGCUUUUAACGGUCGAAAAGUCGAGACAUCUG